UACAGAGGGGGGCAAGCGUUGUUCGGAAUUACUGGGCGUAAAGGGCGCGUAGGCGGCCCGCUAAGUCGAACGUGAAAUCCCCCGAGCUCAACUCGGGAACUGCGUCCGAUACUGGUGGGCUUGAAUCCGGGAGAGGGAUGCGGAAUUCCAGGUGUAGCGGUGAAAUGCGUAGAUAUCAGGAAGAACACCAAUGGCGAAGGCAGCUCUCUGGGACGGUACUGACGCUGAGACGCGAAAGCGUGGGGAGCGAACAGG
rnacentral:rRNA from 1 species